rnacentral:lncRNA from 1 species
CCACAGCCAAGGGAACUAGAAGAAAGUUCAAAAGUGGUUUCUAAAAUGACACAAUCCACCUGCAUUCUAGAUAAAGGCACAGUCUGUCAUAACAGGCAUUUUUAAGAUCGUCCUAGAUUUAAACAGCACAUCUUGUUCCUUUUAUCCUUGUUCCUGAAUUUCUCUUUGAAAAGCUACUGACUAUUUCCGGCCUUUACAUUUUUCUCUACCUGGCAAAACCUAUUACUAGGUGAAUGCUAAUUAAGCCACAAGACCAAUUUGACAAUUUGAAAAAGCAAAACGCUGGGCUCCUAAAGAAGACUCUUGAAAUUAAGACUCUUUCACCCAUAAAUAUGAAGAGUGGCUUCGAGGCUAUAAAACAAAGUGCCCUGAUCAAUACGCCAUCAAGUUUGCUAUGUCAGAACAGACGGAAAGACGGAAAAAUAGUCAACAGGAGAAAAUAAAGACACACACCUGGAUCAACCCAAUGCGUCUCUCCGAAAUAAAUUAAAAACAAAACACAUAUUUUGGUUUUGCACCAACUCACCCCAAAUUCCAGACAUUUUUCAAGGAGAGGACAUUAACUUUCCCAGCUAAAAUGUUUUGGAUUUUUUCUUUUGCGGGGGAGAGGGUGAGAAUAUUAGAAAUUUGUAUAAUUUGCUCUUUCUGCCUUUUUAAACCAGCCACAUCCAGGUGGUCUUCAAAAGGCCUGGAUUCGCAAGAGGGUCACAUUUACUGUCUAAAGCCUGACACACUACUGCCAGCCUGUGUCUUUUCUUCAAGUGCCUUCAAAGAUAUACAAAAAGAAAGGGAGCUUGACCUCCAUUCUUCUUCUUCCCAAACUGCUUGCACCCCUUCUACUUGGCUGGCAACCGUCCUAAACACUGUGCCCAUCCCCCGCUCCCGCCCGCAGCUGGCAGCCAUCACGGCCCACGACGAAAUAGCACCCUGGAGGUCUACUCUGCUCUAGGAAGCUUAGAGCUGUGUUACCCGACGCCUGGGAGUCCGUGGGUCACGGCCGGGGGCUGGGUGGCCUCCUCUCCCUGGAAGGGAGGCUUGAGGAACUGACCUCUCCUCGAGGGGCUGAAGCACGGGCUGUCACUGGGUCCCAUUUGGAGCUCAAACAAGUCAGGUGCAUUAAGGGCCCUGAAAGGAGUCUGGAGGAGUCUUGAGCCGUGUCUCAAGAGCCACAGAGAGUGCGAAGACUCCUCUGGGCUUCCGAACAUCCGGUUGGAAAAGAGACGCGGGGAGCUUACCCGCGCCUCUCACCUCCCUCAGGUCUACACGGCAGCAGCGGCUUGCAGAAGCCCCGCGUGCGCAGUGAGUGCGGUGCGCAUGCCCGUGAGCAGUGCCGUACGUGUGCCCAUGCGCAGUCCCUCGCGCAUGCCCACAUGCUCUCCCGCCGCUGUGCCCCUUUAACUUGCUCAGAGUGCGCGAAGUGGAAACGCCUGGCCUUGCGGGCUGAAGUGGAGAAGAUUGCCCUGGUUCUGACAGUGCUUCUUCCGCAGGCUUAUCCAGGAGCGUGUGGAAGAGAGACCCUGCAUCCUCAGAACUGCGCCUCUGGGAGGGCUCUUCACGUGGCCAAGAGGACCGGUGGCUGGAAGCUUCCAGUUGACACCGUCGGAGUUACUGUUCCCCCAACCACUUCCCUCGCCCCAACCAGGGGUUGUUCCGCUGCUGCUUUCAAGUGCCUGUCUUACUCUGGUGUGACUUCAUCCUUCUCCAGAGGAUAAUGGUGAGCAGGUUGCUCCAUCUUAAGUAAGGAAGAGCUGAGUGCGGAAUCAGCUGGAACGAGGAGAUGGAGGUGAGCCAAAAAAAAGGUGUCAAAUUAGGGAAUGCCUCGUUAACAUUACCAUCUGUUAUGUUUUGUGGGUAAUUAAUGUAAGUCCAACCUUCCCAUUCAAAUUGUUAUGUUGAAAUUCAUGUUACAAAAUUAAGUCGUUUAGUCUUUGCUCUCUGCAUCAGGGAGGACCUUCUUUUCUCAUAGGGGUUUGAGUAGGUGAAUAAUGGAAAUGAAGCUAAGGUGGACUCAGCCACAAGCUUUACUUAGGGGCUGAAGAAUGGAGAAGUGGGAAGUAAGUUCACCACCAACUUCUCACCCGUCUGGUGAGACUGAUUUACUUCUCAGGAGGAAAGACAAAGGGAGCAGGUGAGGAUAAUGAUGGGCAGGGCUUUUUCCGAGGGAGUGGGGAGCCACCCCUUUCUUAUCCUCUUUUGGUCCUUAAUGUCCGGUCCUGGUGGCUAGUAGGUUUGUCAUUUAAUAUGCUAAUAUAGUGAAAAAACACAUAAUGAGACUGAGGGUCUGUUGGAGAUCAAUUUCGUCACCAUCUUGGUCCCAGGUGGUUCCAUUUUUUUUUUUUCUUUUGUGUGUCGCUUCCUUCCUUAUCUCUGGACCCUUUAACUUAAAGUUUAUGUUAACUCCUGCUAAAAAGUGGAGGUGGGUGGGCAUUGGCAGGAUUUGAGCAAGGACACAGCAGAUAAAGGUGGGGUGUGAAGGAUGUCGAGCAAAGACAUGGAGUAGCUCUGGCAAUAUUUACUGUUCGCUUAAUAUCCCUUCCAGGUUUAAACAAAAAGCUUUUAAAAAACUUGGUGACCCAAGAGACAUUUUGGAAGUCACAAGGUUCAUCACCUUUUGACUGUUCUGUUUUAAGAGAUUCAAAUAUACGAUCAAUGUAAGUGUUUUGGUGUAUUCUAGGAAUGUAAGGAUGUAAGAACAGGAAAAACAAGUCUCCUUCUCUCAAUGUCUAAAUUAACAGAAAGAGACAUGAUCUCAAAGAUACUAAUGUAGAGUAUUUGGCAGGAGACAUUCUAGAUUCUAUCCAUCCCCAUGUUCUGGAAAAAUAUCUUGCAAGUUUGAAAAGAAAAACCCAGAUGUCACCCAAUUUCUUGUGAUUAGGGGUGUUUUCUGUGAUUCACUAAUGCAGAAUUACCUCCCAAUUAAGCUCUUCUUAUGUUCAAGCAAAUCUGAUUCUACCAUUUGCCAACUUGAUUCAUGGUGAUAUGGAGAUAACUUGGUAUUCCAAGUUUUGUAGUUCUCCAUAUGAACAAAGUAGUAGCCUAUGGGAAAGCAUCAGUCCUUGCAUAUCCUAUCAAUUAUUGCAUGAGAGUCAACUCCUGAUUAUAUACAGAUGUGGUGUGACUGUGGAACAGAUAAUAUAACCAUCUUCCCUUGCCAUGGGCAUAGUAGGAGGGGGUUUCAGCCUUGGUGGAUGGAGCAUUACUAAUUCUAUCAGUAACAUAUCUGCCAUCUCAAAUAAUAGCUUUAGCAAGCCUGUAAUUCUAACGCAAUUUGGAACCCUUUGAGAAUGGACACCUUUGGACAGCCCAAUUUUAAGGAGAGCUAAUAAUUCACUUUUUUGGUGCUGUAUAAUUUUAAUUGCACUGACAGCACUUUUUAGUAGAACUUUUUCUGCUGUGUAUUAUUUGCAUCCUCUACUUAAGAAUAGAGAACACCAAAAACCAGUACAUUCUUGAUGACACGUCCUUCUAUGUUGUCACUCAUGAAGUGUAGUUUAUGACUGUGUUUACUGUAGUUCUGUGGAGAUGACAAUACUUAUUAAAUUGUCACACUUUUUUAAAAUAGCAGAUGAUUAUUAUCCCACACGAAAUAGCCUCACACUGAUGUACUCCCGAAUUUUUAUUCAUUACUUCUCAUUAUAGUUUUGUACUUGCCUACAGAGACACUUUCCUUCCUUUGUUUCUUCUAAUCUGUUUCAGGUGUAGAAGUCCAAUUACCUUGUGUCAAGAGAAUUAUUAAAUUCUUAGCUUUAUCCGUGAAAGGGAGGAACCCAGCAUCAUGAUAGUGUUAUGACAGGGCUGUGAUACUGAUUUUGGGGACUCUGUGUUCUCUGACAUUGACCGUCUGGCUCUCCUCUGGUUUAAAGCCAAGUGCAACUAGCAGGUACUGGAUUUUAGACUGGAGAGUUGUUAAGGGAACCGCUUAGAUACCAACUAAAGUCAGACUCUUAUCUACAAAAGAAAUCUGCAGUUUUUAUUGCUGAGUUUGCUUUGAUAUUUUGAACUGAGGACUCAAGUGUUAAAAAACUUCACACGUAGAACAAAAAUGCAUGAUGUAUCCUUGUUUUGUGGGCAAGGGGAGAGAGUAAUACCAGUUAGGAAACUUAGAUUUUGGUUAAUGUGGGGUUGAACUGGUUUGGAUUUUAGAUUGGUAAUUUCUGGAUGAUACCAGCUUCACGAAGAAGAAUGAAAAGACCCCUUUUGGUCAUUGAUGAAAACAGGUGUAUUAGGUCUCUUUGCAGGUCCUUGGAAGGCCAGUUCUUUAUUCUCCCAACAAACAAAUGGCUGAGCUGAGGACUGGAGUUAGGGGUGUUUCCAUGCACAUACACACCCAGAGGAUUUUACUGUGUUGUCUUUCAUAGUGUUGUCCAAGUUCUGGGCAGCAACAUCGGUCAUGGAUUUCGGUAUGCUCGUGUAGGCACUGGUGUCAUAGUUCUAUCAGAAUUCUUAAUCCUGGAGUUGCCCCAGUGUUCUUGUGCCUUCUUUCUCCUCCUUGUAGAGGUUAAGACCCUGCUUCAGAUUUCCUUUCUAGUCUCUUGACAUAGAGUGUGGUGGUCAAUAGGUGGUAAUUACACCCAGUGGGACUUACGGUCAUUAAGUAUUAUUUACUGGCCAGUGUCUCAAAUAUUAAACCUGAGCCAGUAGUAACUGCUGACAUGACUCACUGCAGAGCAGAGGUACUUGAAAUAUAGCAGAGCUUUGGGAGGCUGUUUGCAGAGAAGGGGAGCCCAGGCCCUAGAGUAAACCAUCUGCUUGCUCUCUCUACCUCACCGCUAGCUAGCCCUGAGUUCCCGUCAUGGCGCAGCGGAAACGAAUCUGAGUAGGAACCACGAAGUUGCGGGUUUGAUCCCUGGCCUCGCUUACUGGGUUAAGGAUCUGGCAUUGCGGUGAGCUGUGGUGUAGGUCACAGACACAUCUUGGAUCUGAUGUUGCUGUGGCUGUGGCGUAGGCCAGCAGCUGUAGCUGCGAUUGGACCCCUAGCCUGGGAACCUCCAUAUGCUGAGGGUGCAGCCCUAAAAAGCA